GAUUUGUCUGGUUAAUUCCGUUAACGAACGAGACCUUAACCUGCUAACUAGCGCUCCGAACAUUCAGUUCGGUAGAUCUUCUUAGAGGGACGUCAUGUGGUUAACAUGAGGAAGUUUGAGGCAAUAACAGGUCUGUGAUGCCCUUAGAUGUCCUGGGCUGCACGCGCGCUACACUGGCUUGGCCAACGAGCCUCCUGCUCCGAGAGGACCGGGGACUCUUUUGAAACCAAGCCGUGAUGGGGAUCGAUUCUUGCAAUUUUUCAUCUUGAACGAGGAAUUCCUAGUAGGCGCAAGUCAUCAGCUUGCACCGAUUACGUCCCUGCCCUUUGUACACACCGCCCGUCGCUCCUACCGAUUGAGUGGUACGGUGAACUGUUCGGACUCCUUUUUGGAGAAAGUUCCGUCAGCCUUACCACUUAGAGGAAGGAGAAGUCGUAACAAGGUUUCCGUAGUGAACCUGCAGAAGGAUCA
rnacentral:rRNA from 1 species